AUACGGAGGGUCCAAGCGUUAUCCGGAAUCAUUGGGUUUAAAGGGUCCGCAGGCGGUCAAUUAAGUCAGAGGUGAAAGCCCAUCGCUCAACGAUGGGACUGCCUUUGAUACUGGUUGACUUGAGUUAUACGGAAGUAGAUAGAAUAAGUAGUGUAGCGGUGAAAUGCAUAGAUAUUACUUAGAAUACCGAUUGCGAAGGCAGUCUACUACGUAUAUACUGACGCUGAGGGACGAAAGCGUGGGGAGCGAACAGGAUUAGAAACCCUAGUAGUCC
rnacentral:rRNA from 1 species